rnacentral:rRNA from 1 species
CACGGGGGGGAGCAAGCGUUGUUCGGAAUCACUGGGCGUAAAGGGCGUGUAGGCGGUCAGGUAAGUGAGAUGUGAAAAUGCCCCCGGCUCACCCGGGGGACCGGCAUCUCAUACUGCUUUGGCUUUGAGUACGGGAGAGGAUGUGGGAAUUCCUGGUGUAGCGGUGAAAAUGCGUAGAUAUCAGGAGGAACACCGGUGGCGAAAGGGCGCACAUCUGGCCCCGAUACUGACGCUGAGGCGCGAAAAGCUAGGGGGAGCAAAACGGGG